rnacentral:RNase_P_RNA from 1 species
GAGAGUAAGCGAGACGGUCGCGCGGCGCUUAGCGCCGUGAGGAAAGUCCGGGCUCCGCAGGGCAAGGGCGCCGGAUAACGUCCGGCGAGGGCGACCUUAGGGAAAGUGCAACAGAAACACACCGCCGAUGACUAGAACAGGCAAGGGUGAAAUGGUGCGGUAAGAGCGCACCGGCGUCAUGGAGACAUGGCGGCCGUGUAAACCCCGCCCGGAGCAAGGCAAGAGGGUAUGCCCGCCAUAUGGCGGGGGCUGCGGCCCGUGGCCACCCGGUAUGGUAUGCCGCAGGUGAGCGCCAAGGCGCUCCGGAGGCGGGCGGCAACGUCCGCCCCAGAUAGAUGAUCGUCAACUACAGAACCCGGCUUACUGCUUGCUCUCAUCU